UGUGGACUAGAAGUGUUCCGACCUGUAAGUCAGGGCUGAGGUGUGUGUGGACUAGAAGUGUUCCGACCUGUAAGUCAGGGCUGAGGUGUGUGUGGACUAGAAGUGUUCCGACCUGUAAGUCAGGGCUGAGGUGUGUGUGGACUAGAAGUGUUCCGACCUGUAAGUCAGGGCUGAGGUGUGUGUGGACUAGAAGUGUUCCGACCUGUAAGUCAGGGCUGAGGUGUGUGUGGACUAGAAGUGUUCCGACCUGUAAGUCAGGGCUGAGGUGUGUGUGGACUAGAAGUGUUCCGACCUGUAAGUCAGGGCUGAGGUGUGGGUGGACUAGAAGUGUUCUGACCUGUAAGUCUGUGCUAAGGGGUGCGGGUGGGUGGACUGGAGGUGUUUACUACAACCCAUAAGUCGGGGAUGAGGUGUGUGUAUAUAUUGGGGAUGGGGGUGAGCUGCUAGUUAUGAUGGUGUGUGUCUGAGAU